CCCCUCUGCUACCUCCUCACGACGUAAUCUCGACCUGCUACUUCUCUCAAAGCCGUCGCCGCCUCCAUCCCUUCCGCUGCCGCCGCCGCCUCUGCCUCCGUCCCUGCUGCGCCGCUGCCUCUCUUGUUUUGGGUCGCUUCCUGCACGGUUGUUGCUCUGUUCUCAUUCUCAGAGUUGCUAUUUGAUUUAGGGUCCCAAAUUCUCUAGAUCCUCCAUAAAGUUCAUGGCUUCCUGCUCUUUCCUCUUCUAUGAAUUUACUCCUGGAUCUAAUUGAGAGAUGAUAUUGAUAUAUUUUGAGUCGUUUAUGUUCUCAUUACACAUAGGUUUUGUUUUUCAUUUCUUUGCUGUGGUGAUUAUUGAAGCAGCUUGCUAAGGUGUCUGAACGGGAUAACAUUAAUAGUAUUCCAUGUGAGAGCUUGAACAUCACAAAAUAUUAGGAAGAGCUAUACGCAGGUAGCCCAGGAAAUCACUUCAACUGGUGUGUCAAGAAGGGCAAGAUAUAUCUGGCAGAUGUUAGCACUAAGCUAAAGAACAAGAACUUCACUACAGAUGUCAAAGUGAAUAUGGAAAUCAUGUUUCUGCCUGGGAUCUUUUACCUGAGAUAUAUACAUUGUUAAUCGCAUUAUUACAUGGUUUUUGGAUAAUAUUAUCUAUGCUCGUGCCUACACUUAUGAGCAUCAGUACAACCUCAUCCUUGGCUUAGCUGCUAAAAUGUCUGAAGAACUGAUUGUAGAUUCAGUGGUUGCUUUGUAUAGGGUGGACUUUUCAGUAAGAGGAGAGCUUGCAGCGCCAGUCAAAACUGGCACAAAUGCUUUCUUGAUUGAUAAAGAUAGCUGCAGAAUUCAAUGUUGCAGUUUACAUGACAAAUCAAGAAAUUAAUUUAAAAAACAUAAUGACCCCUUAUAUUAAGGAGUGAAGUUUGCAGUUAAGGUGGAUUUUGAUGAGUGUAAGAGAUUGUGCAGCAAAGGAGUCUCUGGUCAAGGUCAAGGGGAGAGCAUCUUGAAAAAAGAAGGGAUACCUGAACCUAAUGUGCCCUCGUCAGACUAAUAGUGUUGAUUGCGGAUAUUACGUGAUGAAGUUCAUGAAAGAUAUCAUCACUCACCAACAACUUGUGAUCCCAACGAAAUAUUUUGAAGAUUGUCAGUUCGUUUCCUACAAUGAAGAGCAAUUGCGUGAAGUUAAAGAUGAGUGGGCUGCUUAUGUUUUUUACAAUUGUUUUUAGUAUUUAAUCUAUUGGAUAGUUAUCUAUGAGAUGGUGGUAGAUGAAGUUAAGGACGUGGUUGAGAUAUUAUGCACUUUAGAAAUUGCUUCGAAUUUAUGAGGCUUUUGAUAUUUAGAUAUAUUGGUUUUGAUA